GUGACUCAGAGGGAUCUGAUUGCCAUCCACAAAUAUUUCAGAGAGGUUAAACAUAUGGGUGGGGAGGAACUACUCAGGAUAACAAGGGAAAGGAAGCAACAUGAUUACAGACAAUUUGGGUUGAACUGCAGGCAUAUCUUCUCAAUAGCAUGACUGGUUAGACUGUGGAGCAAUUUGCAAGUGAGACGGUGGUGGUUUCAGCAUUUUGUCCCUUUACUUCCAGAUGGGGAAAACAUGUGGUGAUGAAUAAUCCUAUUGUAGAAAUAGAUGGACUUCACAGAUUUUCCACAAGCUGUUUCUUUUGUGCUUUCAAGCUUCUGGGAUCUCAAGAUGAAAAAGACCAGCAUUUCACUCCAAAAUCUGGUGUCCUUAACCAUCAAAGGUUUACAAAGCACCUCCAAUUAAACCUGGGAGAAGUCUGGAAGAUUUCUGUCUGGAAGACAAAAUGUGAUUACAGUCUAGCAGUUAUGUAAAUGAGAGCAAAGCAGGGCAGAAACUGCCAUGUUGUAUAAUUCAUGAUAAUUGUAAUUCACGCUGCUGGAUAAGUGCUUAAUAUUAAACAAUUGAAGAAAUAUAGGUGAGACCAGCAGAACAAAUUUUCUGGAAUAAAAUGUGCUCCCAGGAAGAGCACAGAGAUGUGUUCUGUCCCAGCCUGUUUGUCUCAGCACUCCUGGAGUACAGGCAGCACAAAAGAGGUCAUAGAAUAGAAUGAGGACAUGGCACAGAAAAAAAAAGCAUUGAGUAUCUCUACAGCAUGCAAAAACACAGUCACCGAGGGACAACAAGAGAAACAGAAGUUCAGAAAUAAGAUGGAGGUAAAGUGCAAAAAUGCCAAAAGAGGCUCUGACUGGAAAAAGCAGCAUCUGUGCAGAUUGAUGGUGUGGGGAAAGGAAAAAGCUAGAAACCAAGGUGAAGAGAUGUUACAGUGAUCAAAGUGAAAAGAUGAAGAGCUGGAUAAAGAUUCUUAAAGUAAACUCAGAAAGGUUGCAACAGUAUGGGCACAGAUUCCAGGUUUCCUUCAUCGUUUCCUCUCUCCCACUCAAAGCCUUUGAUGGCUCACAAACACAAACUAUACAGAACCAUCAGCCCCUGCACAAAGCUAGCCUCUGAUACAGGGCAGUUCUUGUUGGGGAAGCAAUGCAAAAUCUGAUGUUAUUGGCAGAAAUUGGGGGGGAACAGUUUCCAUGUGGUCUUGGUUUCUCAGAGGCCAUGCAAUACGCUUAUAUCUCAAGCACCAUUUACAUGGAAGGUACUUGAUAUUACUGAAGUUCAAAGCAAAAACUGGCCUUGUGAUGUUGUAGGAAACUGGAGAGAGAAACUGAAUGUUAUAUCCCAAAGCAAAACAGAGGAAAAGAGGAAAGAGGAAAAUCUAUCCUUUUGUCUACUCCUCCUGAUGAAAUGACAUCUUAUUAUAGCAGGAGCAACGUGCAGUGUUGUCUGCUUUGUGUCUCUCACCAGCAAAAGCUGAAAAUGAUUGUGACCCUUUGAGAUUGCAGACUUUGCAAUUAGCCAAAUGCAAAAAGGACUGGAAGCCCUCAGCCUUAGGAAAUAAGAAGAGAAGCCUUCCAUCUGCCUCACGCCUUUGUUGCACAUACCUUUUCAUUUCAGGCCUUCUUUAAUCCAACAGAGUAGCCUACAAAAUACAUCUCCAUUCUACCUCCUCUUUCAAGAAAAAUCUCUUGAUGAUUUUUUCUUGUUCUUUAUCUCUGAUCACUCCGAUUGUAUUAUAUAUUUUUUUCCUCUUCCUUAGGCUUUAAGCUCAUUUCUCCUUUAUCUAUACCCUUCAGUUCCUUUUCUCCUAUCUACGUAAUGUACCAGUUUCUCUCUUUGAAACAAAGAUAGAAGUUCUGAGACAAAGGCAGGCUUUUCAAGUUCGUGGAUUUGUAUAAAUCUGUACAAAUUCUCUCUCUGAUUUUGGGUACUUUUUGUAUUAUCAAUUCACUUUGUAAACUAUUUAAAGACAUACAUAAAUUAGGUAGUAUGGUAAAUAUUAUUACAUUUUUUGGGUCGUGCCUAAAGCAAAAGAAAACUUGAAUUUCAACAAGCUUAAGAGAAAUUGUACAAUUAUCUUUAAUUAUUGAAUUACAUCAGUAAAUACAGUCCAUAGAUUCCUUCCACCGUCUUCAAACUCCCAUGUCAGCACUCUAGAAUCCAAAGAUGGGAAAUCAGUUCUAUUCAUUAUUGUUCGGCUUUAGUCUUUUAAGGCUUUAGCACUUUGUACCAAACAAAGAUAUCUCCUGAUGGUGCAGUGAAUACUAUCCAAUAUCUUGAAGAAUGUGUUCUCCAUUACUCCUUUUCUUCAACCAGGUAGUCAUCUUUUCUUCAAAAGCAUAGGUUAGUUUCUUUGGAAGAGACUCAAAAGGAGAUUUAUGGAAGAUGCACAUGAGAAAAUGUAGACGGUUAAUACAUAUAUAUAUGUACAUCAGCAACUAUAUAUAAUAAAAGAAUUUUCACUGUAACAAAGCAAAUUUUCAGUGGAAGCAGAGAUACCACCACUUGUCAGCUAUGAUUUAUACAGAACUGAGAAACAUUUAGGGAUUCCUGGCAUUUGUUUCAAAUGCCCGGGGCAACUGUUAAUUGAUUUUCACUUAAUUUUCCGUAUGAGCUCCUACACUAGUUCAAGUAGAGUCAGAAUGUGGCCACUAGGGUUUCUCCUUCAGUGUGCAGGAUCAAAACUAAUUUUAUUACCUAUCCAAAUAAAGAGGAACUCAAGAAAAAAAAGGAAAAAAUAAUUACCAACAGUUAGAAGAACAGUCAAUUUUCUGAAAUGAUAAUUUUAGGUAAAGUUCACUUCUACUGUAAAUGCAGUUCACUCCUCUUUUCCUGUGUUAAUUACAUUACUUGCAGAGCACAAUAUUAAUUGCAUUAGAAGAUCAGAAAUGUAGUUCAUUCCAUAUAACACAAUGCAUCUGAAUAGUCCUUUCUGUGUUCAUCACAGACGUGUAUGUCCCACUGAAAUACUUUGGGCAGGACAUUCUUCCUCCUUUUCACUUGUAUUGUGGCCCACUGUAUUGUGGCUACAGCAGGAGGAGCAUCAGCAGUGUCUGUCCCCAGAGACUGAUGAAAAAAUGUAUUUUUUUCCUUAUCUGGAGUAUAACAGGCCUUAGCAGUUGAACAGGUUCUUUGAAUUUAAUUAACUGAAAGCCCUGUAGUAAAGCAGAAUAACUUCCAGUUGACCCGACUGAAGAACAGUCUUGUUCAUGAGCAUUUGAGCUAAAGUCCUCGUGCUCAUGCAAAUUACUAUCCACAUAAUAAAAAUGUUUUAUGCAUGUAUUAUGAUGGAAUAAAUGAAAACUGGGAGCAGUAAACUUCAAAACUAAACCUCAAAGCAGCUUUACCAUAGAGCUGUUACAGAUUGCUCUGGAUAAACAAAAUUGCAGAUUUCACCUAAAAAGCAAGAUGCAGCAUUGCCCUGUAGCUACUCUGAACUCAAUGAGUGGGUUCUUUGGAUUUGCUUUUCUUCUUUUACUAGUGCUAGACCCAAAGCCAUUUAUUCUCAAACAUGAUCCUCAGAAAAUACAUCUUUGUUAAAAACAGUGUCGAAAUGACAAUGUGGGACAGGCGAGUCUGUCUCUAUGUAAAAAAUUUGGCAUAACGGUGCUGUACAAUGGUGCUAUUGCAAGAGCAAAGGGAGAUGGGAAGGGAGGAAAUAAGAGCUUCCCUCAGAACCCUCCUUUUUGUCUGUCAGCCUGAAUGGGAACAAAACAAUCCUGAAAAUACUGAGAUAUCUGACAUUUUCUGGCUUCUGAAGGGGCAGCAUCAGCAGUGCCGGACCAUGAAAGUGAUUCCCAGUUAAAAUAUUAGAAACAUGGGUUUACAACAAUCUGAGAUAUUUCAAUAUCAGCAAGGAUCUUAAUUUUCCACACAAAGAAGUUUUUGAGAUUGUUCAAAACAUACAUCCAUUAAUACCCAACCCUCCUUAAUUAUUUCAGCUUCUGCAGAUAUAAAUUGCAGUCCUCCACUAUUAUCUGUUAAUAAAUGCACACAUUUACUCACAGCAACAUCUGGGUUUCACUGAAAAUCCUGUCCCCUUUUGUUGGCCCGAGGGAAGAUGAAGAGGUGCUCUUGAUUUUGUGCUGUGACAGCAGGACAUUUCAGACCGCUUUAUUC
ensembl:lncRNA